GGAACACAUCAUUCCCCCAUGCCCGUGCGCCUUCAUUCCAACAUCUGGCGAGCGUGGAGACAAGUUGGCCAGAUGCCUCGAAUGACCGAAAGAUGGCAGCUAGUUUGGAGGCAUCAGCUGCUCGUGUCGCCGUGUCCCGAAUAAAGCAAGCUCAUUCAGAGAGCGAGCCGGGGAAGCGGUCGACCUGAAAUGGGAGGAGGCGCGCAAUCUACUACAUGAACCCGAUGAACCCAUCCACCCCCUCCCGUCCUGAGGAUACCUCUGUUCAAGAUUCACACAGUCACUGUGGGAAAGAUGGAGCUCUUGCACCUGACAUCAUACGGACCUCCUGUUGUGAUUUUAAAUUAAUAUGCGGAUACAUGAUAGCGGCUAAAUACAAUAAAUACUAAAUCAAAUCGAAAAUAAUAACCCUCCCAUACGUGGUUAGCUUAAUGUUGAAGCCUGCACUUUUAUAAAACAAGUAACCAUCAUGAUCACAUAUGUGUCGUCUGCUACUUUGUGUGAGGAGGCGGGCGGGGGGAGAUACAGCAGAAUGUUCAAGUUAUCCUUGACUGAUUAAAAUGAGUUCUAUCAUUUACAUUGUUUUUUUUUGUAUGUGUAAAUACAUAAAGGAGGCUACAUGAUUGAUUUCAUGAGUCCAGAAAAAUCCAGAAUUUUCAAGAGAUGCUGAAUUCAUUACGUUUUGUACACAAAUUCCCAUGACACAUUCAGCAGAUGUGUAUUUUUCUUUUAUUUGUUAAACCUAAACCCUUUCAAGGACAGCGGUUACUGCAGUGGACAGUUUAUCAGCAUAUCAGGUUAUUAUUAUUGGUGCAUGAAAGAGUUUAAAUGCCUUAAUGCAAGCAAGGCUUCCAACGCUUAUGCUCUCUCAUCACCAUUCGGUGCAAAUCACAUAGCAAACAUCCUGUCUGACUCACGCUUAGCACAUGAUU